rnacentral:rRNA from 1 species
AUACGGAGGAUGCGAGCGUUAUCCGGAUUUAUUGGGUUUAAAGGGUGCGUAGGUGGUUUGAUAAGUCAGCGGUGAAAGUUUGCAGCUUAACUGUAAAAAUGCCGUUGAAACUGUCGGACUUGAGUGUAAAUGAGGUAGGCGGAAUGCGUGGUGUAGCGGUGAAAUGCAUAGAUAUCACGCAGAACUCCGAUUGCGAAGGCAGCUUACUAAGCUACAACUGACACUGAGGCUCGAAAGUGUGGGUAUC